rnacentral:rRNA from 1 species
UACGGGGGGGGCAAGCGUUGUUCGGAAUUAUUGGGCGUAAAGGGCUCGUAGGCGGUUUGUCGCGUCGGGAGGGAAAACCUUGGGCUUAACUCAGGGCUUGCUUUCGAUACGGGCAGACUAGAGGUAUGCAGGGGAGAACGGAAUUCCUGGUGUAGCGGUGAAAUGCGCAGAUAUCAGGAGGAACACCGGUGGCGAAGGCGAUUCUCUGGGCAUGAUCUGACGCUGAGGAGCGAAAGUGUGGGGAGCGAACAGG